rnacentral:tRNA from 3 species
AGCGGGAUAGAGCAGCCGGGUAGCUUGUCAGGCUUAUAACCUGAAGGCCAGUGGUUCAAAUCCACUUCCUGCUU